rnacentral:lncRNA from 1 species
AUUUCUUUUUGUACUGAAGAAGGGAAAAAGAACGAGUAAAUCUAACCAUGCUAACGUCGUUUGUUGUUUAUAUAUUUAGAUAGAUAGAUAAAUAGAUUCUGGUAAACAUAAGCAUGGUUAGUUUUAUUAAGGUUGAUUCUUUUGUAUGAAUAUGAAUUUCAGCCGGCGGUUCCUCAACAGCCCUAUGUGCAACCUGUUGCAGCUCCUGCACAGCAACCUGCUGCAGUUCCUCAAGCCUAUUACGGUAGUUAUUAUUGAGUUCACAAAAUGAGAUGACGACUGUUUUCGCCUCCUGUAUUUUUUCCUUUAUAUUAUA